UACGUAGGGUGCAAGCGUUGUCCGGAAUUAUUGGGCGUAAAGAGCUCGUAGGUGGUUUGUCACGUCUGCCGUGAAAACCCGAGGCUUAACCUCGGGCCUGCGGUGGAUACGGGCAGACUAGAGGUAGGUAGGGGAGAACGGAAUUCCCGGUGUAGCGGUGAAAUGCGCAGAUAGUCGGGAGGAACACCAGUAGCGAAGGCGGCUCGCUGGGCCAUUCCUGACGCUGAGACGGCGAAAGCUAGGGGAGCGAACAGG
rnacentral:rRNA from 1 species